CGGGUACUCGUUUGAGGCCGAGUCGACGUAGGGGAGGCUCAGGACCGGUUCAGAAAAUCGUCACUGGCGGUGUUGGCCACGAGCGGGAAUGGAACUCGGCUGGUCGGGUGCGGAGCGCAGCGCUCACCACGUCACUGCCGCUCCCCUUCUGUCAACAAACCUGAACUCUGACCCCGCUCUCUGACGUCACCGCUCAGCGUGACCUCAACGGCGUCGAACGCCAAGGGGGAGGUGUGCCUCGCUAGUGACGUCAUGUCACCGACCACCGCGCUCUUGAUCGUGACGUAACCUCCGCUCGGCCGCUGCCGAUAACUGUUCCAGUGCCAAUCCUUAUUUGGGCAAAGCCACUCCCGGUGACUGGCUGCUCAUUAACAUAAUGUGUUCGUGAUAGCCGUCGCGAGUUUAUUGCGACGGGUUCGGCACCCACUCCCCAUCCCUCCACGUAUGGGCCGGGCUCAUUAGCAUAAUUUAUUCAAGUUAAGAGGGGAGUGUCUUGUAUCCCGCAAGUGACGUCAUGUCACCUGCUGCUGCUUCGUGACGUCGCGAGGUAACGGGAAGUUGCCCCUCCGCCUUUGCACUGAAAUCCGAGGCCAAGCCCGCGUUGAGCUGCUAUACCGCUCUUGUUUUCACAACCGACCUGCCCACAACAACAACGAGAAUUUGUCUGAUGGAGCAAAGGCAGUCGCCGCAGCUCGGUACCACAAGGCAUCAAUGCGACCGGUGUGCAUACAGCACGGAUCGUACUGAACAUUUGAGACGGCACCAGAGAACUCACACAGGAGAGAAACCCUUCAAGUGCAGUGUUUGUGGGAAGGCGUUGGCACAUUCAUCUACUCUUGUAAAACACCAGCGAAGACACAUGGGAGAUAAACUCAAGUGCAGUGUGUGUGGGAAGGUGUUUGCACAUUCAUCUACUCUUGUAAAACACCAGAGAACACACACGGGAGAGAAACCCUUCAAGUGCAGUGUGUGUGGGAAGGCAUUUGCACGGUCAACAA